CCGGAAAUCUUACCGGGACCGACAGCAAUAUGAAGGCCAGGCUGAAGACUUUGCCGGAUUAGCUGAGAGGUGGUGCAUGGCCGUCGUCAGUUCGUACUGUGAAGCAUCCUGUUAAGUCAGGCAACGAGCGAGACCCACGCCCACAGUUGCCAGCGUACUCUCCGGAGUGACGGGUACACUGUGGGGACCGCCGCUGCUAAAGCGGAGGAAGGAAUGGGCAACGGUAGGUCAGUAUGCCCCGAAUAUCCCGGGCUACACGCGAGCUACAAUGGUUGGUACAAUGGGUAUCUACCCCGAAAGGGGAUGGGAAUCUCCUAAAACCAAUCUUAGUCCGGAUUGAGGGCUGCAACUCGCCCUCAUGAAGCUGGAAUCCGUANUAAUCGCGUYUCAACAGAACGCGGUGAAUACGUNCCUGCUCCUUGCACACACCGCCCGUCAAGG
rnacentral:rRNA from 1 species